UUUCAGAAAAGGCUAAGGCAGCUUUAAGUGGAGGGUGGAUUUUCUUUGUCUCAGUUUGCCUUGUGUUUUCCACUCUGAAAGAAUGCUGUGGCUGUUCUUUUUCCUAGUGACCGCUAUUCAUGCUGAACUCUGUCAACCAGAUGCAGAAAAUGCCUUUAAAGUGAGACUUAGUAUCAGAACAGCUCUUGGAGAUAAAGCAUAUGUCUGGGAUACAAACGAAGAAUAUCUCUUCAGAGCAAUGGUGGCUUUCUCCAUGAGAAAAGUUCCCAACAGAGAAG